rnacentral:rRNA from 1 species
UGGGAAUGCAGCUCUAAAUGGGUGGUAAGUUUCAUCUAAAGCUAAAUAUAGGCGAGAGACCGAUAGCGAACAAGUACCGUGAGGGAAAGAUGAAAAGAACUUUGAAAAGAGAGUUAAAAGUACUUGAAAUUGCUAAGAGGGAAGCGCUAAAAACCAGUGAUACGCUGGGUCAAUCGCUCUUGGCCCCCCUAGUUAGUCUGAGUAAUGGGCAACCUUGCUUAGGCUAACGAAAGGGUGGUUGGGUGUUUCUGAUCUAGUGUCAGUCAAGAUCAAUUCGGGCUGUGGGAGAAGGUAGCGAGGGAGGUAGGAGAGCAAUCUCUGUUAUAUCCUUGUUACUCUACCUCGGCCUGGAUUGAGGAAGUAAUAGUGCGCUGCUUGCGGCUUGGUCCUGCGUCUCUAUUGCCCUACUUGCUCUCAUAGCAAUGCUAUGUUUGUGGGGAAAGGUAAUACUGGGCGUGGUGAUUCUAUGUGCUAUCACGAUCUUGUACGAAAUGGUUUUUAUCGACCCGUCUUGAAACACGGACC